GAGGAGCAUCAAGUGCUUAUACGGUACUGUCUUGACAUAUAUAUGUUCCGAUAAUAUCUAGGAAAAAUUGAUGUACACCUGAAAAAGGUGACAAAAUUGCUAUCUUGUGUGAACAACUGUUGGAGGCAAGUGGGCAACCCAGCUUCGAUGUUUUACAUGCCAGUUAGUUUUUCCCUUAAUGAUAUUGUAUGCGAUAGAGAUUGCCAAUUUGUAAAGCAUAGGCUUCUAUAUCUUUUCUAGCAAUAGCGUGCCAAUAUUUAUAGAAAUUCAAUUUUGUUGCUUAUGGUUAGAAUUGUAUUUUUCUAGAUAGGUGCAUUAAGAUAUAACUAAAUUUGCAUGUUUGUUUGUCAUGUUUGAUUAGCUGUAUGAAAUUGUGGAGUUGAUAUAUCCAUCAAUUGUUUUACAUGCUUUAGCUUUUUUUAGUUUGCAUUCUUUGGUAUGUUGAAUUGUAGAUGUGCCCAAAAG
rnacentral:misc_RNA from 1 species